AUUGAACGCUGGCGGCAGGCUUAACACAUGCAAGUCGAGCGAGCGGCGGACGGGUGAGGAAUGUCGGUGAAAUUGCCUGAUGGAGGGGGACAACCUCUGGAAACGGUAGUUAUUCCCGCAUACUAUCAGAGGUGCCUCGAUGGGAUUAGCUAGUUGGUGGGGUAAUGGUUAGCUUAGGCGACGAUCCCUAGCUGGUCUGAGAGGAUGACCAGCCACACUGGAACUGAGACGCGGUCCAGCCUCCUACGGGAGGCAGCAGUGGGGAAUAUUGCACAAUGGGCGCAAUCCUGAUGCAGCCGUGCCGCGUGUGUGAAGAAGGCCUUCGGGUUGUAAAGCACUUUCAGCGAGGAGGCGUUACUCGCAGAAGAAGCACCGGCUAACUCCGUGCCAGCAGCCGCGGUAAUAC
rnacentral:rRNA from 1 species